rnacentral:rRNA from 1 species
UGCAGCGGAUCCGCAUGGAUAUGUUGUUAAAGGUUUACCGCCUUGGGAUAGGCUUGCGUCUGAUUAGCUAGUUGGUGUGGUAAUGGCACACCAAGGCUACGAUCAGUAACUGGUCUGAGAGGAUGAUCAGUCACACUGGAACUGAGACACGGUCCAGACUCCUACGGGAGGCAGCAGUGAGGAAUAUUGGGCAAUGCACGAAAGUGUGACCCAGCAACGCCGCGUGGAGGAUGAAGGUAUUCUAUUAUCGUAAACUCCUGUGAGAGCAGACGAAAGACAGAUUAUUAAUUUGGAUGACUGUAUGCUCAGAGGAAGCCCCGGCUAACUACGUG